rnacentral:rRNA from 1 species
CUACGGGGGGCAGCAGUGAGGAAUUUUGCGCAAUGGGGGAAACCCUGACGCAGCAACGCCGCGUGAGCGAAGAAGGCCUUCGGGUCGUAAAGCUCUGUCAAGUGGGAAAAAAAUUCUUUGAUGAACAGUCAAAGGACUUGAUGGUACCACUGGAGGAAGCACCGGCUAACUCCGUGCCAGCAGCCGCGGUAAUACGGAGGGUGCAAGCGUUGUUCGGAAUUACUGGGCGUAAAGAGCGUGUAGGCGGUUUGACAAGUCAGAUGUGAAAGCCCCGGGCUCAACCCGGGAAGUGCAUUUGAAACUGGUUCACUAGAGUAUGGGAGAGGAGAUUGGAAUGCCUGGUGUAGAGGUGAAAUUCGUAGAUAUCAGGAGGAACACCCGUGGCGAAGGCGAUUCUCUGGACCAAUACUGACGCUGAGACGCGAAAGCGUGGGGAGCAAACAGGAUUAGAUACCCUAGUAGUC